rnacentral:lncRNA from 1 species
GCUGCUUUCAUGGUGGCUGAUAAAUGUCUGUUUUUUGUGGAGCCCAAUACCCAUUUCUGCCCCUUCCCACGUGCUUCAGAUGUUCAUCAGCCCACAGAACACAACUAAGAGAUUACUCCAAAUCACAUCAAGCAACCGCUGUGGGAGGCAGCAGUGUGAUCAGAGCGAAGCUGUCCCAGGGAUAGAAGGAGGUACUGGGGCCGAACCUGUAGGGAUGAUUAGAGCGGGUUUGAGGUCCUUUCCAACCCAAACCAUUCUAUGAUCCUUUUUUGAUGGUCUUUCAGUGAGCUGAAAUAAUGCAUUUCUUAUUCCACUGCUGUCCGACCUACUUUGUCAUGCCAAGGAAACCCUGAGAGGUGUUUUGUCAUCUUCUUGUUAUCAAUUCCUUCCUCCCACUGCACUUCCCACACGAGGGGCUAUGUAGAACCUACCAGUCACUUGGUGGAGCUAAGGAAACUUUCGGAAGGUGUGGGGCAUAUCACUCUGGGCUUUAUUCUUGAGCACUGUCAGAGCUUUAAGUUGUGAGCAAACUCUUGCU